rnacentral:rRNA from 1 species
CUGAUGCAGCAACGCCGCGUGAGGGAUGACGGCCUUCGGGUUGUAAACCUCUUUUAGCAAGGAAGAAGCGAAAGUGACGGUACUUGCAGAAAAAGCGCCGGCUAACUACGUGCCAGCAGCCGCGGUAAUACGUAGGGCGCAAGCGUUAUCCGGAAUUAUUGGGCGUAAAGAGCUCGUAGGCGGUUUGUCGCGUCUGCUGUGAAAACUGGAGGCUCAACCUCCAGCCUGCAGUGGGUACGGGCAGACUAGAGUGCGGUAGGGGAGAUUGGAAUUCCUGGUGUAGCGGUGGAAUGCGCAGAUAUCAGGAGGAACACCGAUGGCGAAGGCAGAUCUCUGGGCCGUAACUGACGCUUAGGAGCGAAAGGGUGGGGAGCAAACAGGCUUAGAUACCCUGGUAGUCCACCCCGUAAACGUUGGGAACUAGUUGUGGGGACCAUUCCACGGUUUCCGUGACGCACCUAACGCAUUAAGUUCCCCGCCUGGGGAGUACGGCCGCAAGGCUAAAACUCAGAGGAAUUGACGGGGACCCGCACAAGCGGCGGAGCAUGCGGAUUAAUUCGAUGCAACGCGAAGAACCUUACCAAGGCUUGACAUAUACGAGAACGCUGCAGAAAUGUAGAACUCUGUGGACA